AACGAACGCUGGCGGCAGGCUUAACACAUGCAAGUCGAACGAGACCUUCGGGUCUAGUGGCGCACGGGUGCGUAACGCGUGGGAAUCUGCCCAAAGGUUCGGAAUAACUCCUCGAAAGGGGUGCUAAUACCGGAUGAUGUCGCAAGACCAAAGAUUUAUCGCCUUUGGAUGAGCCCGCGUAGGAUUAGCUAGUUGGUGGGGUAAAGGCCUACCAAGGCGGCGAUCCUUAGCUGGUCUGAGAGGAUGAUCAGCCACACUGGGACUGAGACACGGCCCAGACUCCUACGGGAGGCAGCAGUAGGGAAUAUUGGACAAUGGGCGAAAGCCUGAUCCAGCAAUGCCGCGUGAGCGAUGAAGGCCUUAGGGUUGUAAAGCUCUUUUACCCGGGAUGAUAAUGACAGUACCGGGAGAAUAAGCCCCGGCUAACUCCGUGCCAGCCGCCGCGGUAACAC
rnacentral:rRNA from 1 species